GCAGAGAUAGUGAAGCGGUCAAACACAGCAGACUGUAAAUCUGCCGGCUUAUGCCUUCGGGGGUUCGAAUCCCUCUCUCUGCACCA
rnacentral:tRNA from 1 species